rnacentral:sRNA from 1 species
AAUACUGGAGGACCGUAUAACAACCUACAUGCAAGUUAAGAGUUUUCAACAAUUACCCAUAUCCAAUCGUCACAAGAUCCGUAUCCAAUCCUUCUAUUUUUAGUUUCUAUAAAUUUUAUUAUAAGCUAUAAUUUUAAAUGAAGUACUAGAUUUUAACCCGCGGUACACCGCGGGGACAAUUAAUUUUUUAAUAUAUAUAAAAGUUUGCAAAUUGUAUCUAUAUAUAAAAUAUUUUUAUUUUAAAGUUUACAAUUGUUAUUAAGUAAUGUCCUGUCAAACUCGUCCCGUAAAAAACCUAUUUAUUUUAUUAAUGUUGAUUUUAUUUAUGAUAUGUUUAUAAAUCAUUGUAUAAAUAUUUUGUAAUUUUGUAGUAAUUAACUGCUAUCAAAUAUUUAUGCAGUUUGAUGCUUAUAAUCGAAUUGUUAUAAUCAUGAAAAAAGCAAUAUCAAAAAUGAUAAUUUUGUAGUGUUUAAAUGAUAUUAAAUAUUUUGGAAGUUUUAUUUUAGUAACUAAUUGUGUAGUUAAUGUGGAGAGAUUUCGGGAAGAUAGUUAAAUAUCAAAUAUUUAAUUCGAAGAUUUACUUUCUAAUUAUCAAAAAUAAUUAUUAAAUAUUAGUGGCAACCACUGUAAAUAAGUCCCAACUUGAAGAUUUAUUUCACAAAAUGGCUGCAAAAAUGUAUAUAUAGAUACUAAUUUUGGAUGAAUUU